AUCAGUCACUCGCUGAGUGGCUUCUGCAGAACACUGACCUGGGGGAAAUGUUCCUUGUUUGGAACAGAAACCACGAAGCUGGAAAUUCUCAGGGUAACGUUUCUGGUCCUGCUUAGGAAAAUCAUGCUGGAACGCCAAGCAUCUCCACUGUCUUCUGUCCUGACAGCUUUUGUUUGGGGUUUUUCAUUUACGAAAGGCAAGGAUUUGGCAGAGAGGGGGAAAUCUGAUGGCAGCGCAAGGAAACAACAACAACAACAACAACAAACCCGAUUUCUGCACAAAAUCUGCAAUGGAAAAUAACCAGAAAUUAUUUCAUCUGCCUCCUUUGAGAAGCAUUUGCAGGGCCGGCCCUGGGGCUGCCCUGUGCUCACCCACAUCCCCGGGCGUCACGCUGCGGCAGCCACGGAAUUGGCAGCAGGAGAAGAGAUGCUCUCCAUCCUCCGCUGGAGCUCCGUGGCGUCUUUGGGAGGACCAUCCCGCGUGCCCCUAUAUGUGACCCACACCGGAGGGCAGAGCCCCUCGGUGGGCUGCAGGGCACCAGGUGCAGAGCUGGGAGAGGGGCACACGGCCCCAGCGCAGCACCAGAAGGGCAGCCAGGUGUAACAACUGCGUCUGUGCUGAUCAUAAAAUCAUAGAAUCAUUAAGGUUGGAAGACCUCUAAGAUCACCCAGUCCAACCCCAGCCCAGCCCACCAUGCCCACUGACCACAUCCCUCAGUGCCACAUCCCCACAGCUCUGGAACACCUCCAGGGUUGGUGACCCCACACCACCUGUGCAGCUGUGCUGCUGCAUCACCACUCUUAUGGAGAAGACAUUGUUCCUAACACCCAACCUGAUGGCAGCACCGUGCCCAUGUGCAGCAAGGACCACAGAGAAGAUCACAGAACGGCCUGAGGGAGCCAUGAGGAUCAUCGCAUCCAACUCCUGGCUGUGCACAGACAACCAAAGAGGAAACCUGUGUACCUGAGAGCAUUUCCCAGUGCUCUUAGAUCCAAUAUCCUUCUCAUUUUUGGUGCCCCGGGCUCCGACAGGACCAGCAAGAGUGACAGCUUCACCCACCUGCAAGAAGAGCAAUACUGAGGAGUAGAACUGGAGCUGUCUGCUGUAAAGCACCCUGCCACUGGGUCAUAGCUGUGUUAUGUAUAAAUCAGUACACAC
rnacentral:lncRNA from 7 species